rnacentral:other from 1 species
UAUUUCCUGAAAUGUUCGAUAUCCUGUUAUUUUGAACCUACAUGAUAUAUAAGGGAGUUCUAUAUGAGAAAGUGGAUGUCAUGCCUAGAAUCUUUAUUAUAGGAAGGCUGAAACUUUACUGCGAACACCCACCUAGCUAGAGCUAGGUGUCAAAAUGCAGGGAACGGCAUUUCGGGUAUAUC